UUGGUAGAAAAUUAGAAAAACUUAGUAUGCCUGUUCUAAGCUCAGUGUUUUGCUGCCACGGAUGGCAGCAAAAGUCUUAACGCGCCACGGAUGGUGCGUUUAAGACGUACACGUCACUCUGUGAACACACCUCGCAGGCAUACUUAGCUUUUCUUAUUUUCGGAC
rnacentral:ncRNA from 1 species